CGGACGGGUGAGUAAUGUCUGGGAAACUGCCCGAUGGAGGGGGAUAACUACUGGAAACGGUAGCUAAUACCGCAUAACGUCGCAAGACCAAAGAGGGGGACCUUCGGGCCUCUUGCCAUCGGAUGUGCCCAGAUGGGAUUAGCUAGUAGGUGGGGUAACGGCUCACCUAGGCGACGAUCCCUAGCUGGUCUGAGAGGAUGACCAGCCACACUGGGACUGAGACACGGCCCAG
rnacentral:rRNA from 1 species